rnacentral:rRNA from 1 species
AUAUUGCACAAUGGAGGAAACUCUGAUGCAGCGACGCCGCGUGAGCGAUGAAGGCUUNNNAGUCGNACAGCUCUGUCCUAGGGNACANGAAUGACGGUACCCUAGGAGGAAGCCCCGGCUAACUACGUGCCAGCAGCCGCGGUAAUACGUAGGGGGCGAGCGUGGUCCGGAAUUAUUGGGCGUAAAGGGUUCGCAGGCGGCCUUUUAAGUCAGAUGUGAAAGCCCACGGCUUAACCGUGGUAAGCAUUUGAAACUGGAAGGCUUGAGUUAAGGAGAGGAAAGUGGAAUUCCUAGUGUAGCGGUGAAAUGCGUAGAUAUUAGGAGGAAUACCAGUGGCGAAGGCGACUUUCUGGACUUAUACUGACGCUGAGGAACGAAAGCGUGGGGAGCAAACA